CAUGCAAGUCGAACGAGCGAGAGAGAGCUUGCUUUCUCGAGCGAGUGGCGAACGGGUGAGUAACGCGUGAGGAACCUGCCUCAAAGAGGGGGACAACAGUUGGAAACGACUGCUAAUACCGCAUAAGCCCACGACCCGGCAUCGGGUUGAGGGAAAAGGAGCAAUCCGCUUUGAGAUGGCCUCGCGUCCGAUUAGCUAGUUGGUGAGGUAACGGCCCACCAAGGCGACGAUCGGUAGCCGGACUGAGAGGUUGAACGGCCACAUUGGGACUGAGACACGGCCCAGACUCCUACGGGAGGCAGCAGUGGGGAAUAUUGCACAAUGGGGGAAACCCUGAUGCAGCGACGCCGCGUGGAGGAAGAAGGUCUUCGGAUUGUAAACUCCUGUUGUUGAGGAAGAUAAUGACGGUACUCAACAAGGAAGUGACGGCUAACUACGUGCCAGCAGCCGCGGUAAAACGUAGGUCACAAGCGUUGUCCGGAAUUACUGGGUGUAAAGGGAGCGCAGGCGGGAAGACAAGUUGGAAGUGAAAUCCAUGGGCUCAACCCAUGAACUGCUUUCAAAACUGUUUUUCUUGAGUAGUGCAGAGGUAGGCGGAAUUCCCGGUGUAGCGGUGGAAUGCGUAGAUAUCGGGAGGAACACCAGUGGCGAAGGCGGCCUACUGGGCACCAACUGACGCUGAGGCUCGAAAGUGUGGGUAGCAAACAGGAUUAGAUACCCUGGUAGUCCACACCGUAAACGAUGAUUACUAGGUGUUGGAGGAUUGACCCCUUCAGUGCCGCAGUUAACACAAUAAGUAAUCCACCUGGGGAGUACGACCGCAAGGUUGAAACUCAAAGGAAUUGACGGGGG
rnacentral:rRNA from 1 species